rnacentral:rRNA from 1 species
ACGGAAGGCAGCAGUCGGGAAUAUUGCGCAAUGGAGGAAACUCUGACGCAGUGACGCCGCGUAUAGGAAGAAGGUUUUCGGAUUGUAAACUAUUGUCGUUAGGGAAGAUACAAGACAGUACCUAAGGAGGAAGCCCCGGCUAACUAUGUGCCAGCAGCCGCGGUAAUACAUAGGGGGCAAGCGUUAUCCGGAUUUAUUGGGUGUAAAGGGUGCGUAGACGGAGAUACAAGUUGGUUGUGAGAUCCCUCGGCUCAACUGAGGAACUGCAACCAAAACUAUAUCCCUUGAGUGUCGGAGGGGAAAGUGGAAUUCCUAGUGUAGCGGUGAAAUGCGUAGAUAUUAGGAGGAACACCAGUGGCGAAGGCGGCUUGCUGGGCUUUUACUGACGCUGAGGCUCGAAAGUGUGGGGAGCAAACAGGAUUAGAUACCCUGGUA